UUGCACCGUUCGUAACCUGUGAUCAGUCUGCUUUCUGACACUGGGUUCCAUUCCAGUGCUAAAUUAACCCCACUGAAACUGGAAACUGCUUUUUGUUUGGAGUCUUUCUGUUCUAUCUUUGGGAACACAG